CCAGACUCCUACGGGAGGCAGCAGUGGGGAAUAUUGGGCAAUGGGCGCAAGCCUGACCCAGCAACGCCGCGUGAAGGAAGAAGGCUUUCGGGUUGUAAACUUCUUUUCUUGGGGACGAAGAAAGUGACGGUACCCAAGGAAUAAGCCACGGCUAACUACGUGCCAGCAGCCGCGGUAAUACGUAGGUGGCAAGCGUUAUCCGGAUUUAUUGGGUGUAAAGGGCGUGUAGGCGGGAAUGCAAGUCAGAUGUGAAAACCAUGGGCUCAACCUGUGGCCUGCAUUUGAAACUGUUUUUCUUGAGUACUGGAGAGGCAGACGGAAUUCCUCGUGUAGCGGUGAAAUGCGUAGAUAUGAGGAGGAACACCAGUGGCGAAGGCGGCCUGCUGGACAGCAACUGACGCUGAGGCGCGAAAGCGUGGGGAGCAAACAGGAUUAGAUACCCCAGUACC
rnacentral:rRNA from 1 species